UACGUAGGGUGCGAGCGUUAAUCGGAAUUACUGGGCGUAAAGCGUGCGCAGGCGGUUAUUUAAGUCAGGGGUGAAAGCCCUGGGCUUAACCUAGGAAUUGCGCUUGAGACUGGAUAGCUUGGAGUGCGGCAGAGGGAGGUGGAAUUCCACGUGUAGCAGUGAAAUGCGUAGAGAUGUGGAGGAACACCGGUGGCGAAGGCGGCCUUCUGGACAGUGACUGACGCUGAGACGCGAAAGCGUGGGGAGCAAACAGG
rnacentral:rRNA from 1 species